rnacentral:rRNA from 1 species
ACUCCUACGGGGAGGCAGCAGUGGGGAAUAUUGCACAAUGGGGGAAACCCUGAUGCAGCCAUGCCGCGUGUGUGAAGAAGGCCUUCGGGUUGUAAAGCACUUUCAGUAGGGAGGAAGGUAGUGUAGUUAACACCUGCAUUAUUUGUACGUUACCUACAGAAGAAGCACCGGCUAACUCCGUGCCAGCAGCCGCGGUAAGUACGGAGGGUGCGAGCGUUAAUCGGAAUUACUGGGCGUAAAGCGCAUGCGAGGCGGCCUGUUAAGUCAGAUGUGAAACGCCCGGGGUCUUAACCUCGGAAUUGCAUUUGAAACUGGCAGGCUAGAGUCUUGUAGUAGGGGUUAGAAUUUCGAGGUGUAGCGGUGAAAGUGCGUAGAG